UGGGGAAUAUUGGACAAUGGGCGAAAGCCUGAUCCAGCCAUGCCGCGUGUGUGAAGAAGGUCUUCGGAUUGUAAAGCACUUUAAGUUGGGAGGAAGGGCAUUAACCUAAUACGUUAGUGUUUUGACGUUACCGACAGAAUAAGCACCGGCUAACUCUGUGCCAGCAGCCGCGGUAAUACAGAGGGUGCAAGCGUUAAUCGGAAUUACUGGGCGUAAAGCGCGCGUAGGUGGUUUGUUAAGUUGGAUGUGAAAUCCCCGGGCUCAACGUGGGAACUGCAUUCAAAACUGACUGACUAGAGUAUGGUAGAGGGUGGUGGAAUUGCCUGUGUAGCGGUGAAAUGCGUAGAUAUAGGAAGGAACACCAGUGGCGAAGGCGACCACCUGGACUAAUACUGACACUGGGGUGCGAAAGCGUGGGGAGCAAACA
rnacentral:rRNA from 1 species